UACGGNCCGGCUUGAGUGCGGUAGGGGAGACUGGAACUCCUGGUGUAGCGGUGGAAUGCGCAGAUAUCAGGAAGAACNCCGGUGGCGAAGGCGGGUCUCUGGGCCGUUACUGACGCUGAGGAGCGAAAGCGUGGGGAGCGAACAGGAUUAGAUACCCUGGUAGUNCACGCCGUAAACGUUGGGCACUAGGUGUGGGGGGCCUUUUCCGGGUCUUCCGCGCCGUAGCUAACGCAUUAAGUGCCCCGCCUGGGGAGUACGGCCGCAAGGCUAAAACUCAAAGGAAUUGACGGGGGCCCGCACAAGCGGCGGAGCAUGCGGAUUAAUUCGAUGCAACGCGAAGAACCUUACCAAGGCUUGACAUGUGCCGGUCGGCUCCGGAGACGGGGUUUCCUCCUUGUGGGGCCGGUUCACAGGUGGUGCAUGGUUGUCGUCAGCUCGUGUCGUGAGAUGUUGGGUUAAGUCCCGCAACGAGCGCAACCCUUGUCCCGUGUUGCCAGCACGUUGUGGUGGGGACUCGCGGGAGACUGCCGGGGUCAACUCGGAGGAAGGUGGGGAUGACGUCAAAUCAUCAUGCCCCUUAUGUCUUGGGCUUCACGCAUGCUACAAUGGCCGGUACAGAGGGCUGCGAUACCGUGAGGUGGAGCGAAUCCCUUAAAGCCGGUCUCAGUUCGGAUCGGUGUCUGCAACUCGACACCGUGAAGUUGGAGUCGCUAGUAAUCGCAGAUCAGCAACGCUGCGGUGAAUACGUUCUCGGGCCUUGUACACACCGCCCGUCACGUCAUGAAAGUCGGCAAC
rnacentral:rRNA from 1 species